CCUGGGGAAGGGGUGUAUAUUUUAGUAAGAAAAAGAAAUUCAACUUAGGACAAUAUUAUAUUUCCCCGAUUCUUCAACAUGGAGUAUGAGAUCCCAUAAAUAGACUCUUGUCGACCAUCUCUAUUUUAUUUUAUUAUUUAGUUUAGUUUAGUUUCAUUUUUCAGUGUUCAUUUUCCUUAAAUGACCCCCAUCACCCUGCAGGCAGGUAGGCGUUGGCAAGAGAUGUUCACUUGGCAAUAUCGCUCUUUGCCCAUAUUCUGGAAGGUCUCCUUCCAGGAAAAGUACGUUCCAACCAGGCUCCCCGCUGCCAGGAGCGGGUUUUUGCCAUGUGUAUGACUGGUAGUCCAUCUGCCAAUCUGGACUCAGCAGAAAGGCAAGCUCCUGGCCUCAGAAGUCGCAGACUCCAGAAAUAGAGCGGCCCUUGUCGGUUCCAAAGAGGAUGACACUGGCAAAGGCAUCUUCCUCAGCUUGUCCAGUCGCUUGAACAUUCCAGUGAUGAGAUUGCAAGUCAUAAAGGUCUGAGUGAGUUCUUUAGGGAAGAGAUAUUCUGAUUACCACAGGGACCAGUCAUCCUUAUCAAAGUGCUCCCAGAAAUAGGGCAGCACCACAAAGUGUGUGUCCUCGUUGGAGUACUUGUGCUUAAAUUCAUCCAAAACAAAGGUACUCCUGAGAAAGUGAGCGAAGAAGUCUUUGACCUUGGGCUCAGCAGCCAGCACCUGCUCACGUUCGUCCAUCUCCUCCUCAGGAGCGGGGGCAGCCGCCUUUUUCUCCUCCUUCCGCUCAGCCUGGAGCUACUGCUUCCUUUCCCGUGAAUCUUUCCCUUUCCAUGGGAUGUGUUUUUCAGACUGGCUUUCUGCAAGCUUUUUAGCAUCAAACUGAGCCAUGUUCUCAGACAGUUUCACCUUCCAUAAGACAGUCCGGAAUUGGGGUUGGUUAAUGAAGUUGAGGAACCAGUGUUGGUAUUGGGAAAGGCCUGGCAGAAAGAAGGCUCCAGGACCUGCUUAUAGAGCCACAACAGAGUGCAGACAACUGCGAUGUCAGCCAGACGAAGAGUCCUCGGCUUCAAGUGAGCAUCUAGCAGCCCCCAGAAUUCGCCUCACCUCCGGCUUUGCAUUCUCAGUGGCAGGAAAAUAAAUCUAGCUAGAAGAAAAACUUCAAAAGAGCCAUAAACCUUUCCUCAAUCAGGAGAAUAACUGUGAGAACAUGAUUUUCAGGAGAGAAAUCUUAUGAAACAGGGAAGAUAGAAGAGGAAGAAGCCAUAGAAGUAACAAAGCAGGUGAAUAGAAAGCUAGGAGUCCCAAGACAGAAAAUGUUUCCUGGAAUAGGCUCAUAUUGCCAGAAACUGUUGGCCCUGCAGUUCCCCAUAUCUGGAGAUCUGUGGCUGUGUUCACUCAUCAAUGAAAGUUUUCAUAACCAACCCUAUGUCCACUAUCCAGGCCUCAUUGACUGAGGAGGACAAGAAAUACUAGAACAUAAUAAUUAAAACAUACUUUACAAGUUGAAAAGAGAUGCCCAAAUGAGGGAUUAAAGAACUACAUAUUUAACAAGAGAACUAUUUCUCAUCCCAAGUUUCAGGUUCAAAUUCUGUAUUGUUUUCUCUCAGUUCUACUGCUAAAAUCCAUGGUUAAACUCUAUAUUACAUUUUGGAUUAGGCAAUAAGAAACAAACAACUGACUUACAAAGGAGCUACUUGUAAAUAUGAUAAAGUAUUAUGUGCAAUAUAUGGUUUAUGAUGAAACUGAAUAGUGUAGUAAGUUACAUCUGCCCUUUAGGGUCAUAUAGACCUUGUCAAAUUACAGAGCCCUGGGAACUCACAUUAUUUAUUUGUGAAAUAAUAAUUACAACAUACAUCACAUAGAAUAGUUUGAAGGUUAAUUUACAUGUUGUAGAUAAAUAAAGUGCUUUUCACAAUACUUUGCCCUUAUAUAGCAAAUGACCAGUGAGCAUUGCUAUUAGUAGCAGUAGUAGUAGUGAUAAUAGCAUUGUAUUAAGUAUAUGAAGUAAGGGAAAGAAAUCACACAGCGUAUUUUCUGAUUCAAAGGUCUUUCACCAAUAGUAAGAGAUAUGUGUUAAAAAAAUUGAAUUAAUUCACAUGCCAUUGUCGUUGAAGUCUUUAGAACAAAGGAGUUCCUCAAGUGAGAAAGGCCAGAAAGAAGACUGAGUACAUCUUGGGUAUUGCUCAAAGUUUGAAAGGAGGGGACAGAAACAGAAAAUAGUUUUACAAAGAAGGUUUUAAGCAGAGGUAAAAAACAACAAACCACGGCUAGAUGAAAAAGACUGAGAAAUAAAAAAGCACCAAUGGUUUUUAAAGCAGCGGGUAAUUUCAUUUGUAAUUAACCUGUAUAGAAUAUUUUUGUAAGCGGGACACAAGUUAGGAAUUUAAAAAUAUUAGGUUUUAGGAAUAGUUUAGACUAUGAAACUAAAUAAUAAAAAGGAACUAUCUUUGCCAUGUACACAGCUUUAUAAACAUGCAGGGUAAACUCUGAAAGAAGAUAAUUUAGUAUGUGUAUUAGUCAAGGUUCUCUAGAGGGACAGAAUUAAUAGGAUAGAUGUAUAUAUAAAGGGGAGUUUAUUAAUGAGUAUUGACUCACAUGAUCACAAAGUGAAGUCCCACAAGAGGCUUUCUGCAAGCUGAGGAGCAAGGAAGCCAGUCCAAGUGCCAAAAUCUCAAAAGUGGGAAAGCCAGCAGUGCAGCCUUUUGUCUGUGGGCAAGGUCUGAGAGCCCCUGGCAAACAACUGGGGUAAGUCCAAGAGUCCAAAAGCUGAAGAGCUUGGAGUCCAAUGUUCGAGGGCAAGAAGCAUCCAGUACGGGAGAAAGAUGAAGGCUGGAAGACUUAGCCAGUCUAGUUUUUCCACGUUCCUCUACCGGCUUUUAUCCUAGCUUCACUGGCAGAUGAUUAAUUCGUGUCCACCCAGACUGAAGGUGGGUCGCCUCUUCCAGUCCACUGACUCAAGUGUUAAUCUCCUUUAGCAACACCCUCACAGACACACCAGGAUCAAUACUUUGCAUUCCUCCAUUCAACCAAGUUGACACUCAGUAUUAACCAUCACAGUAUGGUUUAUUGAAUAUUAACUUUCCUUAGAAGUUAAUGCAUUAGGGGGCGGAGCAAGAUGGCCGAAUAGGAACAGCUCCAGUCUCCAACUCCCAGCGCGAGCGACACAGAAGACCGGUGAUUUCUGCAUUUUCAACUGAGGUACUGGGUUCAUCUCACUGGGGAGUGCCGGACAAUCGGUGCUGGUCGGCUGCUGCAGCCCGACCAGCAAGAGCUGAAGCAGGGCGAGGCAUCGUCUCACCUGGGAAGCGCAAGGGGAAAGGGAAUCCCUUUUCCUAGCCAGGGGAACUGAGACACACAACACCUGGAAAAUCGGGUAACUCCCACCCCAAUACUGCGCUUUAAGGAAACGGGCACACCAGGAGAUUAUAUCCCACACCUGGCCAGGAGGGUCGCACGCCCACGGAGCCUCCCUCAUUGCUAGCACAGCAGUCUGUGAUCUACCGGCAAGGCAGCAGUGAGGCUGGGGGAGGGGCGCCUGCCAUUGCUGAGGCUUAGGUAGGUAAAUAAAGCCCCUGGGAAGCUCGAACUGGGUGGAGCUCACAGCAGCUCAAGGAAACCUGCCUGUCUCGGUAGACUCCACCUCUGGGGACAGGGCACAGCUAAACAACAACAACAACAACAACAACAACAAAGCAGCCGAAACCUCUGCAGACGCAAACGACUCUGUCUGACAGCUUUGAAGAGAGCAGUGGAUCUCCCAACAUGGAGGUUGAGAUCUGAGAAGGGACAGACUCCCUGCUCAAGUGGGUCCCUGACCCCUGAGUAGCCUAACUGGGAGACAUCCCCCACUAGGGGCAGUCUGACACCCCACACCUCACAGGGUGGAGUACACCCCUGAGAGGAAGCUUCCAAAGCAAGAAUCAGACAGGUACACUCGCUGUUCAGAAAUAUUCUAUCUUCUGCAGCCUCUGCUGCUGAUACCCAGGCAAACAGGGACUGGAGUGGACCUCAAGCAAUCUCCAACAGACCUACAGCUGAGGGUCCUGACUGUUAGAAGGAAAACUAUCAAACAGGAAGGACACCUACACCAAAACCCCAUCAGUACAUCACCAUCAUCAAAGACCAGAGGCAGAUAAAACCAAAAGUUGGGGAAAAAGCAGGGCAGAAAAGCUGGAAAUUCAAAAAAUAAGAGCGCAUCUCCCCCGGCAAAGGAGCGCAGCUCAUCGC
rnacentral:lncRNA from 1 species